GACGUAGGGUGCAAGCGUUGUCCGGAAUUAUUGGGCGUAAAGAGUUCGUAGGCGGUUUCUUAAGUCUGGCGUUAAAGCCCGGAGCUCAACUCCGGCAUGGCGUUGGAAACUGGGAGGCUAGAGUGUGGCAGAGGUCACGGGAAUUCCAGGUGUAGCGGUGAAAUGCGUAGAUAUCUGGAGGAACACCGGUGGCGAAAGCGCGUGACUGGGCCAUAACUGACGCUGAGGAACGAAAGCCAGGGGAGCAAAAGGG
rnacentral:misc_RNA from 1 species